GAUGAACGCUGGCGGCGUGCCUAAUACAUGCAAGUCGAGCGAACAGACGAGGAGCUUGCUCCUCUGACGUUAGCGGCGGACGGGUGAGUAACACGUGGAUAACCUACCUAUAAGACUGGGAUAACUUCGGGAAACCGGAGAUAAUACCGGAUAAUAUAUUGAACCGCAUGGUUCAAUAGUGAAAGACGGCUUUGCUGUCACUUAUAGAUGGAUCCGCGUCGCAUUAGCUAGUUGGUAAGGUAACGGCUUACCAAGGCGACGAUGCGUAGCCGACCUGAGAGGGUGAUCGGCCACACUGGAACUGAGACACGGUCCAGACUCCUACGGGAGGCAGCAGUAGGGAAUCUUCCGCAAUGGGCGCAAGCCUGACGGAGCAACGCCGCGUGAGUGAUGAAGGUCUUCGGAUCGUAAAGCUCUGUUAUUAGGGAAGAACAACUGUGUAAGUAACUCUGCACGUCUUGACGGUACCUAAUCAGAAAGCCCCGGCUAACUACGUG
rnacentral:rRNA from 1 species